AACGAACGCUGGCGGCAGGCCUAACACAUGCAAGUCGAGCGGACCCUUCGGGGUUAGCGGCGGACGGGUGAGUAACGCGUGGGAACGUGCCCUUUGCUUCGGAAUAGCCCUGGGAAACUGGGAGUAAUACCGGAUACGCCCUUUUGGGGAAAGAUUUAUCGGCGAAGGAUCGGCCCGCGUUGGAUUAGGUAGUUGGUGGGGUAAUGGCCUACCAAGCCGACGAUCCAUAGCUGGUUUGAGAGGAUGAUCAGCCACACUGGGACUGAGACACGGCCCAGACUCCUACGGGAGGCAGCAGUGGGGAAUCUUAGACAAUGGGGGAAACCCUGAUCGAGCCAUGCCGCGUAAGCGAUGAAGGCCUUAGGGUUGUAAAGCUCUUUCACCGGGGAAGAUAAUGACGGUACCCGGAGAAGAAGCCCCGGCUAACUCCGUG
rnacentral:rRNA from 1 species